CUCAGAAGAGAAGAAUAAGAGGAAUGGGGAGAUGUGACUUGGCCAGAAGGCUGGGCUGUGGAAGGCAUAGCUAGAGGCAGACUGUCUUGGGCUCAGAAGAGCUCAACAGAGGGUGUCCUGGAUGAAGCUUCCUGUGAUGCCAUGCUUGUAUGUUGGGGGUACUACCAUAAGAGUGAUUCCACUGUGCUUCAUCAGAUGUACAUCAAUCAGUUAAUGAUGGAUUCAUAGCACCAAUGGCACUACUGCUGACCUUUGUCACUGAGACAUCAGAAAAGGAACUCUCUGCUGAGGAAUGGCACGCAAUCCAUCUGCCAACAGUAUGAGGCAGUACAACUAAGUAAUGAACUUCUGUUACCUGACCUCCCCAUUCCUACACUGUAGCAUGUCUUUACUCCACUAUUGAUUUAUUCUGUUACCAUAGUCAGAUAAGCAACUUCAUUACCACUAGCCAGAUAAAAUGGUCAACCUCAACCCUAUCUUCUACUUCCUCUUCUACUGGGCAUUUCCCCUUCUAGCCCUUCAAAGAUCUAUCUUCUAGUGCCAUUCAUGCUGCCCUGUAAUUGUUUUCAAAUGUUCUAUCGAAAAACCACUUGACUUGCUGUUUUUCCUUGUGUACAUAUAUAAUAGGCAAUGGGCCCGAUUCUGCAAGCCCUUCACAUGCAUGAUUCCCAUUCAUUUUAGUAACAAUCCUACAUGCUUAUGGUUGGGUUUGUUUCGCUCUUAAAAUUUCUUUAUUCCAGAAACAUUUAUAUUCUAAUCCAGGCACUACACUGCAAACUACUAAAUGUAAAAUGAAUCUAAAGCCAAAGAGCCAGGUCUUUUGCUGGUGAAAGCUUUCCUAGCUCCCACUCAUUUCAGUGGAGCUAUAUUGAUUAUUAACAUCAGCCAAGGUUCUGGCUCAGCAUGGUCACUAUAUGUAAAGACCAAAUGGCUCAGAUUGUACCCAAGCAUUGGCCAAACAUGUAAUAGAGAAGAUGGUUCACCAAGACUUGUGCAUUCCAUUUCCCAUCCUUCAGA